rnacentral:rRNA from 1 species
GCAUAUCAAUAAGCGGAGGAAAAGAAACUAACAAGGAUUCCCCUAGUAACUGCGAGUGAAGCGGGAAAAGCUCAAAUUUAAAAUCUGGCGGUCUUUGGCCGUCCGAGUUGUAGUCUGGAGAAGUGCUUUCCGCGCUGGACCGUGUAUAAGUCUCUUGGAACAGAGCGUCAUAGAGGGUGAGAAUCCCGUCUUUGACACGGACUACCAGUGCUUUGUGAUGCGCUCUCAAAGAGUCGAGUUGUUUGGGAAUGCAGCUCAAAAUGGGUGGUGAAUUCCAUCUAAAGCUAAAUAUUGGCGAGAGACCGAUAGCGAACAAGUACCGUGAGGGAAAGAUGAAAAGCACUUUGGAAAGAGAGUUAAACAGUACGUGAAAUUGCUGAAAGGGAAACGCUUGAAGUCAGUCGCGUUGUCCGGAACUCAGCCUUGCUUUUGCUUGGUGCACUUUCCGGAUGACGGGUCAGCAUCGAUUUUGACCGUCGGAAAAGGGCUGGAGUAAUGUGGCACCUCCGGGUGUGUUAUAGACUCUGGUCGCAUACGGCGGUUGGGAUCGAGGAACGCAGCGCGCCGCAAGGCAGGGGUUCGCCCACUUUCGCGCUUAGGAUGCUGGCAUAAUGGCUUUAAACGACCCGUCUUGAAACACGGACCAAGGAGUCUAACAUACCUGCGAGUGUUUGGGUGGAAAACCCGAGCGCGUAAUGAAAGUGAAAGUUGAGACUCCUGUCGUGGGAGGCAUCGACGCCCGGACCUGACGUUCUCUGACGGAUCCGCGGUAGAGCAUGUAUGUUGGGACCCGAAAGAUGGUGAACUAUGCCUGAAUAGGGUGAAGCCAGAGGAAACUCUGGUGGAGGCUCGUAGCGAUUCUGACGUGCAAAUCGAUCGUCAAAUUUGGGUAUAGGGGCGAAAGACUAAUCGAACCAUCUAGUAGCUGGUUCCUGCCGA